AUUGAACGCUGGCGGCAUGCUUUACACAUGCAAGUCGAACGGUAACAGGCCGCAAGGUGGUGACGAGUGGCGAACGGGUGAGUAAUGCAUCGGAACGUGCCCAGUCGUGGGGGAUAACUACUCGAAAGAGUAGCUAAUACCGCAUACGAUCUAUGGAUGAAAGCGGGGGACCGUAAGGCCUCGCGCGAUUGGAGCGGCCGAUGUCAGAUUAGGUAGUUGGUGGUGUAAAGGCUCACCAAGCCAACGAUCUGUAGCUGGUCUGAGAGGACGACCAGCCACACUGGGACUGAGACACGGCCCAGACUCCUACGGGAGGCAGCAGUGGGGAAUUUUGGACAAAGGGCGCAAGCCUGAUCCAGCAAUGCCGCGUGCAGGAAGAAGGCCUUCGGGUUGUAAACUGCUUUUGUACGGAACGAAACGGCUCUGGUUAAUACCCGGGGCUAAUGACGGUACCGUAAGAAUAAGCACCGGCUAACUACGUG
rnacentral:rRNA from 1 species